rnacentral:rRNA from 1 species
CCGGCCGCAAGAUUAGAUUUCCUUUGAGGGUCGUUGUAGACUACGACGUUGAUAGGCUGCAGGUGUAAAGGCGGUGACGUCAAAGCCGAGCAGUACUAAUUGCCCGAAUUUUUCCUUGUG